UCCCUUUCACCGUCAUCCAUGAGAAGACACAGUGUUCCAUCCAGAGGAUGUAGCAUCAAGGCGUCAUCUUAAAAGCAGAGAAAAGACUCUUACUUGACACCAGAUGCCAGUGCAUUGAUCUUGGACUUCCCAGCCUCUAGAACUAAUGCUGGUAGCUGUGUAAUUAGGCAAGUUCUUCUCUGCUAUUUUAAGAAAAAGACUUCAUAGAAAAGUAAACAGCCCUGGGACAAAGAACAGACUACGGGUAUUGCCUUCUUAAUCAACAAUAAAGUAUUAGUUGGCUUCCAGGCAGACACCACUGACUUUCAAGAGAAAGGCACGGGAGUAAGGAAGUAAAGAAUUCAGGUGCUGCUUGAAAAUACAACAAACUGUCUUCAGAAUACUUUUAUGUGUUGUUGAAAGAAAGCACUGCAGCUAAUAUAGCUACAAAGGAGAAACAGUUAUUCUUAAAUGUCAUCUAUUUGCUGGACCUGAACAGGAAUUCACUAUGGAGCUCAUACAACUACCACCUUCAGCUAUUAAUCAAGGAGUCAUUCAACUGAGAAAGGGGAGAUUGAGAUGUUGAAUCAUUUCUCAUUCUGUGAAGUCUACCAGAAUAACCCAUAAAGCAAAUAUCAACCUAUUUCAAUUAGAAAAAUGAAAAAUACUGAUACAGCAGACGAAUUCUGGAACUAACACUUCCACAAAUCAUUGAUAAUCCAUUUUCCAACUUCUUCAAAUUCCAGACCAUCAACAAGCUAUUCAAAACAAUAAAUGUUAAUAGUUUUGGUGGAGUUAAGCAGCAGAAGUUAAAAGCAUUGUGGAAGACAGUAUGGUGAUUCCUCAAGGAUCUAGAAGCGGAAAUACCAUUUGACCCAGCAAUC
rnacentral:lncRNA from 1 species